UUCUAAUAUGGCAGAUUAGUGCAUUGGAUUUAAACCCCACUCAUAAAGAUUACAUCUUUUUUUAGAA
rnacentral:tRNA from 1 species